GGAUGUGAGGGCGAUCUGGCUGUGACAUCUGGCACCCCAUUGAUCGCCAGGGUUGAUUAGGCUGAUAUGGCUGGCUAGACGGGUGUCCCCCUCCUCCCUCACCGAUCCAUGUGCGUCCCUCCCGAAGCUGCGCGCUUGGUCGAAUAGGACGACCUUUCCCCCAGAGGAGAGGACCGGUCUUUGGUCAAGGGUAUAAGAGUAGCUGCACUCCGCUGCUAGAACCUCCAAACAAGGCAUCUUCUAAUCAUCCUUAAUCCUUCUUUUUCCCUCCUACUCAG
rfam:Myotis lucifugus cont2.6757, whole genome shotgun sequence.